AACGAACGCUGGCGGCAUGCCUAACACAUGCAAGUCGAACGAGCCCACCGGGACUUGUGGCGCACGAGUGCGUAACGCGUGGGAACCUUACCUUAGGUUCGGAAUAACUCUCCGACAGGGGUGCCAAUACCGGAUAAUGUCUUAUGACCAAAGAUUUAUCGCGUUUGGAUGGUCCCGCGUUGGAUUAGCUAGUGGGUAGGGUAAAAGACUACUACGGCGACGAUUCAUAGAUGGUCUGAGAGAAUGAUCAGCCACACUGGGACUGAGACACGGCCGAGACUCCUACGGGAGGCAGCAGUGGGGAAUAUUGGAAAGUGGGCGGAAGCAUGAUGCAGCAAUGACGGGUGAGUGAUGAAGGCAUUAGAGUUGUAAAGCUCUUUUACCCGGGAUGAUAAUGACAGUACCGGGAGAAAAAGCCACGGCUAACUCCGUG
rnacentral:rRNA from 1 species